AGAGUUUGAUCCUGGCUCAGAACGAACGCUGGCGGCGUGGAUAAGACAUGCAAGUCGAACGAGAGAAUUGCUAGCUUGCUAAUAAUUCUCUAGUGGCGCACGGGUGAGUAACACGUGAGUAACCUGCCCCCGAGAGCGGGAUAGCCCUGGGAAACUGGGAUUAAUACCGCAUAGUAUCGAAAGAUUAAAGCAGCAAUGCGCUUGGGGAUGGGCUUGCGGCCUAUUAGUUAGUUGGUGAGGUAACGGCUCACCAAGGCGAUGACGGGUAGCCGGUCUGAGAGGAUGUCCGGCCACACUGGAACUGAGACACGGUCCAGACACCUACGGGUGGCAGCAGUCGAGAAUCAUUCACAAUGGGGGAAACCCUGAUGGUGUGACGCCGCGUGGGGGAAUGAAGGUCUUCGGAUUGUAAACCCCUGUCAUGUGGGAGCAAAUUAAAAAGAUAGUACCACAAGAGGAAGAGACGGCUAACUCUGUGCCAGCAGCCGCGGUAAUACAGAGGUCUCAAGCGUUGUUCGGAAUCACUGGGCGUAAAGCGUGCGUAGGCUGUUUCGUAAGUCGUGUGUGAAAGGCGCGGGCUCAACCCGCGGACGGCACAUGAUACUGCGAGACUAGAGUAAUGGAGGGGGAACCGGAAUUCUCGGUGUAGCAGUGAAAUGCGUAGAUAUCGAGAGGAACACUCGUGGCGAAGGCGGGUUCCUGGACAUUAACUGACGCUGAGGCACGAAGGCCAGGGGAGCGAAAGGGAUUAGAUACCCCUGUAGUCCUGGCAGUAAACGGUGCACGCUUGGUGUGCGGGGAAUCGACCCCCUGCGUGCCGGAGCUAACGCGUUAAGCGUGCCGCCUGGGGAGUACGGUCGCAAGAUUAAAACUCAAAGAAAUUGACGGGGACCCGCACAAGCGGUGGAGUAUGUGGCUUAAUUCGAUGCAACGCGAAGAACCUUACCUGGGCUUGACAUGUAAUGAACAACAUGUGAAAGCAUGCGACUCUUCGGAGGCGUUACACAGGUGCUGCAUGGCCGUCGUCAGCUCGUGUCGUGAGAUGUUUGGUUAAGUCCAGCAACGAGCGCAACCCCUGUUGCCAGUUACCAGCACGUGAAGGUGGGGACUCUGGCGAGACUGCCCAGAUCAACUGGGAGGAAGGUGGGGACGACGUCAGGUCAGUAUGGCCCUUAUGCCCAGGGCUGCACACGUACUACAAUGCCCAGUACAGAGGGGGCCGAAGCCGCGAGGCGGAGGAAAUCCUGAAAACUGGGCCCAGUUCGGACUGUAGGCUGCAACCCGCCUACACGAAGCCGGAAUCGCUAGUAAUGGCGCAUCAGCUACGGCGCCGUGAAUACGUUCCCGGGUCUUGCACUCACCGCCCGUCA
rnacentral:rRNA from 1 species